AUUGAACGCUGGCGGCAUGCCUAACACAUGCAAGUCGAACGGCAGCGCGAGAGAGCUUGCUCUCUUGGCGGCGAGUGGCGGACGGGUGAGUAAUGCAUCGGGACCUGCCCUGUCGUGGGGGAUAACGUAGGGAAACUUACGCUAAUACCGCAUACGACCUACGGGUGAAAGUGGGGGACCUUCGGGCCUCACGCGAUUGGAUGGACCGAUGUUCGAUUAGCUUGUUGGUGGGGUAAUGGCCUACCAAGGCGACGAUCGAUAGCUGGUCUGAGAGGAUGAUCAGCCACACUGGGACUGAGACACGGCCCAGACUCCUACGGGAGGCAGCAGUGGGGAAUAUUGGACAAUGGGCGCAAGCCUGAUCCAGCAAUGCCGCGUGUGUGAAGAAGGCCUUCGGGUUGUAAAGCACUUUUAUCAGGAGCGAAAUCUGCGUGGUUAAUACCCGCGUAGUCUGACGGUACCUGAGGAAUAAGCACCGGCUAACUCCGUGCCAGCAGCCGCGGUAAUACGGAGGGUGCAAGCGUUGAUCGGAAUUACUGGGCGUAAAGCGUGCGCAGGCGGUUCGUUAAGUCUGCUGUGAAAGCCCCGGGCUCAACCUGGGAAUUGCAGUGGAUACUG
rnacentral:rRNA from 1 species